UGAUAUUUGUUGUUAUUGUCUGCGAUUUC
rnacentral:sRNA from 1 species